rnacentral:rRNA from 1 species
GACGAACGCUGGCGGCGUGCUUAACACAUGCAAGUCGAGCGAGGCCCACCUUUCGGGGUGGUGUCCUAGCGGCGAACGGGUGAGUAACACGUGGGCAACCUGCCCCCGGCUCGGGGAUAACCCCAAGAAAUUGGGGCUAAUACCGGAUACGACCGCUGACCGCAUGGUCUGGUGGUGGAAAGAUUUAUCGGCUGGGGAUGGGCCCGCGGCCUAUCAGCUUGUUGGUGGGGUAGUGGCCUACCAAGGCGAGGACGGGUAGCCGGCCUGAGGGGGUGCCCGGCGACACUGGGACUGAGACACGGCCCAGACUCCUACGGGAGGCAGCAGUGGGGAAUAUUGCGCAAGGGGCGAAAGCCUGACGCAGCGACGCCGCGUGGGGGAUGACGGCCUUCGGGUUGUAAACCUCUUUCAGCAGGGACGAAGCCCGCAAGGGUGACGGUACCUGCAGAAGAAGCACCGGCCAACUACGUGCCAGCCGCCGCCGUAA